rnacentral:lncRNA from 7 species
GGUAAGACACCAGGGCAAGGCCAAGAAGCCCCUUACCCAAGGAACAUUGCUGCCAUUCAAUUACUCCAUGGACCUUCUCGGGGAAAAAAAAGUUCAAGAGAUCAGUAAAGGGACUGUGGAAAUAUCUGCCCAAUCUGUUUUCAUUUGUAGUAUGCCAGUUAGCAAAAGGCACUUUCCAGCACUUUCUCUGUUUUGAACAGAGCUCCAAGUAUACUUUAAAAGAAUCUCAACUACUGUGAAAGAUGGAGUUCAUGAACUGAAUAUUUUUCCUUUCUUUCUGUUUUGUCUUCUGGAUUUUUAUUUUUUUUUUUUAGCUAUUGAUUUAUCUCUAGUUGGGAAACCUCCCGGCCUUUUUAAAUCAUUAAACUUUUUUGUGGAAUUGCUGCAUAUCUGUAUGAGGGUCAGUCAAAGUCCCCAUCAAAACAAAUAACACUGCAGACGCUCAUCCUCCAGCUUCAGAACAGCUUCAGCUUUUCCCUUCAGAGAUGGCAUCCCAGUGCUAACAGUGCUCAGUCCUACACAGGAGGUGGCAGGCUGACCAGUGAACUCUACUAACACAGAGCUAGGCCUACUUUACUGCUAUUGUUUCUUCUUCUGUAAUACCCCUGGUGAGUUUUCAGAGAUGGCAGGGAGCAAGUGCAACCAUAGUGCAAGUGAAAUUACCAUCCUUACUAUUGACCAAUGAUAGGAGAAAACCUCACAUCAAGAAUGUGCUCAAGUCAUCCAAGAUCAAAUGAAGACUAUCAGAUGAAUAGUUAUUACACUCCUCCCAGGAGCAAAUGAGAGAUGGGAACCCUCAGGAUGGGCAGAGCCAUCCAUGCUGAACACUUGCUGUCUCCAGCCUUGCACAAAAUUAAUGUUACAGACGGAUACCUAUGUUUCUAAAGCCUCGAUGCUGCUAUACUUUAAUAUCUUGAACUAAAUUAAUGGGUGAGACAGCAAAAACAGCCCAACAUCCUUCUUUCCCUUUCUUCUUCCUCUCAAAAAAACACUUAUUUUGGAGUGAAAUAAGAUUAAAACUUGUGUUUCAGUGGAGCUUACCUGAAGCAAGAACAUAUUAGAACUUCUCCAGAAUAAUAUUUCCAUCUUAAGACAUCUAAAAAUGUUAAUUAUUGGACAUUAAUAGCCGGAAAUAUUGCAAAAUAAAAUUGUUAAAAGUCAAAGUUAUGUCAACAAUAAUUACUUUGCUGUCCAGGUAUUAUUCAAGCUUACCAGAAACCUC